UACGAAGGGUGCAAGCGUUGUUCGGAAUUACUGGGCGUAAAGCGCACGUAGGCGGCUUUGUAAGUUAGAGGUGAAAGCCCGGGGCUCAACUCCGGAACUGCCUUUAAGACUGCAUCGCUUGAAUCAUGGAGAGGUCAGUGGAAUUCCGAGUGUAGAGGUGAAAUGCGUAGAUAUCAAGAGGAACACCUGAGGUGAAGACGGGUUGCUGGGCUGGCACUGACGCUGAGGCGCGAAAGCCAGGGGAGCAAACGGG
rnacentral:rRNA from 1 species